AACGAACGCUGGCGGCAGGCUUAACACAUGCAAGCCGAACGCCCCGCCAGGGGAGUGGCAGACGGGUGAGUAACGCGUGGGAAUCUACCCAUCCCUACGGAAUAACGCAUGGAAACGUGUGCUAAUACCGUAUACGCCCUACGGGGGAAAGAUUUAUCGGGGAUGGAUGAGCCCGCGUUGGAUUAGCUAGUUGGUGGGGUAAAGGCCUACCAAGGCGACGAUCCAUAGCUGGUCUGAGAGGAUGAUCAGCCACAUUGGGACUGAGACACGGCCCAAACUCCUACGGGAGGCAGCAGUGGGGAAUAUUGGACAAUGGGCGCAAGCCUGAUCCAGCCAUGCCGCGUGAGUGAUGAAGGCCUUAGGGUUGUAAAGCUCUUUCACCGGAGAAGAUAAUGACGGUAUCCGGAGAAGAAGCCCCGGCUAACUUCGUG
rnacentral:rRNA from 1 species